rnacentral:rRNA from 1 species
UACGGGGGGGGCAAGCGUUGUUCGGAAUUACUGGGCGUAAAGGGUGCGUAGGUGGUUGACUAAGAUAUCUGUGAAAUCCCUGGGCUUAACCUAGGCAGGUCAGAUAAGACUGGUUGACUCGAGUAUAGGAGAGGGUAGUGGAAUUUCCGGUGUAGCGGUGAAAUGCGUAGAGAUCGGAAGGAACACCAGUGGCGAAGGCGGCUACCUGGCCAGAUACUGACACUGAGGCACGAAAGCGUGGGGAGCAAACAGG